UUUCGAAGGUCCCAGCAGGGAGGAAGCUCUAUUAACGAGACCUCUCUAACACUAAUCUAUUACCUUCGUAAAGUUAUUAUUAGACGAACUGAAAGACGCACCAAAUCAUUUUCAUUAUUGGCGUGUUUAGAAAUCUCGGCUACAUCUUA